GAUACGGUGGCUGAGUGGUAAAGCGCUUGCCUCAUGAAAAGGGGUGUCCCAGGUUCGAAUCCUGGUGAAGUCU
rnacentral:tRNA from 1 species